GACGAACGCUGGCGGCGUGCUUAACACAUGCAAGUCGAACGGAGUGGCGAACGGGUGAGUAACACGUGGGUGACCUGCCCUGCACUUCGGGAUAAGCCUGGGAAACUGGGUCUAAUACCGGAUAGUGUGGGAUGGGGCCGGGGCCUAUCAGCUUGUUGGUGGGGUAAUGGCCUAACAAGGCGGCGACGGGUAGCCGGCCUGAGGGGGUGGACGGCCACAGUGGGACUGGGGAAAGGACCAGGAUGCUACGGGAGGCAGUAGUGGGGAAUAUUGCAGAGUAGGCGGAAGCCAGAUGCAGCGACGCCGCGUGGGGGAUGACGGCCUUCGGGUUGUAAACUCCUUUCACCAUCGACGCGGUAGAUGGAGAAGAAGCACCGGCUAACUACGUGCCAGCAGCCGCGGUAAUAC
rnacentral:rRNA from 1 species